rnacentral:rRNA from 1 species
UCAUCAUCAGUGAAAACGAGUAGGGCGGGACACGUGAUAUCCUGUCUGAAUAUGGGGGGACCAUCCUCCAAGGCUAAAUACUACUGACUGACCGAUAGUGAACCAGUACCGUGAGGGAAAGGCGAAAAGAACCCCUGUGAGGGGAGUGAAAUAGAACCUGAAACCGUGUACGUACAAGCAGUAGGAGCACCUUCGUGGUGUGACUGCGUACCUUUUGUAUAAUGGGUCAGCGACUUAAUUUUAGUAGCAAGGUUAACCGUUUAGGGGAGCCGUAGGGAAACCGAGUCUUAACUGGGCGUACAGUUGCUAGGAUUAGACCCGAAACCAGGUGAUCUAGCCAUGGGCAGGUUGAAGGUUGAGUAACAUCAACUGGAGGACCGAACCGACUAAUGUUGAAAAAUUAGCGGAUGACUUGUGGCUAGGGGUGAAAGGCCAAUCAAACCUGGAGAUAGCUGGUUCUCCCCGAAAGCUAUUUAGGUAGCGCCUCGGACGAAUACUACUGGGGGUAGAGCACUGUUAAGGCUAGGGGGUCAUCCCGACUUACCAACCCUUUGCAAACUCCGAAUACCAGUAAGUACUAUCCGGGAGACACACGGCGGGUGCUAACGUCCGUCGUGGAGAGGGAAACAACCCAGACCGCCAGCUAAGGUCCCAAAGUAUAGCUAAGUGGGAAACGAUGUGGGAAGGCUCAGACAGCCAGGAUGUUGGCUUAGAAGCAGCCAUCAUUUAAAGAAAGCGUAAUAGCUCACUGGUCGAGUCGGCCUGCGCGGAAGAUGUAACGGGGCUAAGCUAUACACCGAAGCUGCGGCUACGUACCUUAGGGUAUGUGGGGUAGGGGAGCGUUCUGUAAGCCGUUGAAGGUGGUCUGUAAGGGCUGCUGGAGGUAUCAGAAGUGCGAAUGCUGACAUGAGUAACGAUAAAGGGAGUGAAAAACUCCCUCGCCGGAAGACCAAGGGUUCCUGUCCAACGUUAAUCGGGGCAGGGUAAGUCGACUCCUAAGGCGAGGCCGAAAGGCGUAGUCGAUGGGAAACGGGUUAAUAUUCCCGUACUUCUUACAAUUGCGAUGGGGGGACGGAGAAGGCUAGGUGGGCCUGGCGACGGUUGUCCAGGUUCAAGUAUGUAGGCGG